rfam:Oryza punctata chromosome 7, whole genome shotgun sequence.
AAUAAGUUCAUUUAUGGGAUUCUGUGUCCAACGUUUGACCGUCCGUUUUAUUUGAAAUUUUUUUAUGAUUAGUAUUUUUAAUAUUAUUAGAUGAUAAAACAUGAAUAGUACUUUAUGCAUGACUUAUUUUUUUAAUUUUUUCAAAUAAGACAGACGGUCAAACGUUGGACACAGAAACCCACAAAUGAACUUAUU